rnacentral:tRNA from 1 species
GGCCCUGUGGCUCAAAGGAGUAGGGUGCUGGCUCCACAUGCCAGAGGUGGCAGGUACAAACCCAGCCCUGGCCA